rnacentral:rRNA from 1 species
AUUGAACGCUGGCGGUAGGCCUAACACAUGCAAGUCGAACGGCAGCACAGAGGAGCUUGCUCCUUGGGUGGCGAGUGGCGGACGGGUGAGGAAUACAUCGGAAUCUACUCUGUCGUGGGGGAUAACGUAGGGAAACUUACGCUAAUACCGCAUACGAACUACGGGUGAAAGCAGGGGAUCUUCGGACCUUGCGCGAUUGAAUGAGCCGAUGUCGGAUUAGCUAGUUGGCGGGGUAAAGGACCACCAAGGCGACGAUCCGUAGCUGGUAUGAGAGGAUGAUCAGCCACACUGGAACUUAGACACGGACCAGACUCCUACAGGGGGCAGCAGUGGGGAAUAGUGGACAAUGGGCGCAAGCCUGAUCCAGCCAUACCGCGUGGGUGAAGAAGGACAUCGGGUUGUAAAGCCCUUUUGUUGGGAAAGAAAUCCAGCUGGCUAAUACCCGGUUGGGAUGACGGUACCCAAAGAAUAAGCACCGGCUAACUUCGUGCCAGCCGCCGCGGUAA